GCUGGGUGUGGUAGCACACACCUGUAGUCCCAGCUACUUGGGGGGCUGAGGCGAGAGGAUCGCUUGAGCCCAGGAGAUUGAGGCUGCAGUGAGCUGUGUUUGUGCCACUGCACUCUAGCCUGGGUGACAAAGUGAGACCCUGUCUCAA
ensembl:misc_RNA Metazoa_SRP Metazoan signal recognition particle RNA